rnacentral:rRNA from 1 species
ACUCCUACGGGAGGCAGCAGUGGGGAAUAUUGCACAAUGGGCGCAAGCCUGAUGCAGCCAUGCCGCGUGUGUGAAGAAGGCCUUCGGGUUGUAAAGCACUUUCAGCGGGGAGGAAGGCGAUACGGUUAAUAACCGUGUUGAUUGACGUUACCCGCAGAAGAAGCACCGGCUAACUCCGUGCCAGCAGCCGCGGUAAUACGGAGGGUGCAAGCGUUAAUCGGAAUUACUGGGCGUAAAGCGCACGCAGGCGGUCUGUCAAGUCGGAUGUGAAAUCCCCGGGCUCAACCUGGGAACUGCAUUCGAAACUGGCAGGCUUGAGUCUUGUAGAGGGGGGUAGAAUUCCAGGUGUAGCGGUGAAAUGCGUAGAGAUCUGGAGGAAUACCGGUGGCGAAGGCGGCCCCCUGGACAAAGACUGACGCUCAGGUGCGAAAGCGUGGGGAGCAAACAGGAUUAGAUACCCGAGUAGUCCCAUG